CAUAGUGCUAGGCCACCUUAAAACUGACACAAACCACAGCGUCAUUUAAAGGCAUCCACACAAUGACAGAUAGUAAUGGAAGAGCAGAAUCCACCUGGUGAGACCAAAGGAGAUCCUGAUGCACGUGGCAAGCGAUAGAGUACACAAGUGGAACGAUCUCCUGAUGGAGGAUAAAAUCCACCUGAUGUGCAGUGUUGCACAAGGACAUGGAGCUGAGCAUGAAACUAGGAGGCAGUCCUGUCCACAGCAUGUGGGCAGGCAGUGCAUGUGCCAUUGUACCAUUGUAUGGCUCUGUUUAAAGAAGCAAGGAAAGAUAAAACAUCAUUCCUAUGCUUUCCAUUUGGGAAUCCAGCUAUCCCACUGAAGGAUCACUAAACUAACAGGAAGAUGUUUCUGGCCACACAAUGACAAAGAUCAACUUAAAUACAUGAGCAGAGUAUAAAUAAUGUCUUCCUGAGUCUGCAGAACAACCUGAAAAAAAGUUAAUGGAGAAGUCUGCUGCACCCUAAUCGUCUCAAAGGGUUGUCAAGUCUGGAACUGAAAGAUAAGUUAAAAUGUUGCCUUCAGUAAUUAUUCCUAUAUGGAGAAAUUCAGCAGAAACAUCCAGCUUUUGUUCUUAACCUCCAGUCCAAAGCUGCCCAUUUGGUGGAGAAAUUAAUAAAAAAAAUUAAUAUCCCAGAGGAAUUCAUUCUUAUUACAAAACGCUUUCAUAUUCAACUAACUUCAAAUGUCUCCUUUUGACUUUAAUUAAGCUACUGUAGAUCCCAUUUCUUUUGUUACUUUAGUGCAAACUAGGUAUAAAACAUAGGUCCAAAUUGCUAAACAGCAUUUAGCAUUCUAGGCACCAGAGUCCUGUGUAUAUGUGCUACAGCAAAGUACACCUUCACCGAUCAGCCACAGCCUGGCUUUGGUAGGAACUACUUGCACUACCUUACAGAGACCUCUAAAAAUACAAGGUAUUAAUCAUGCCUUCUUCCAUCUGAACCUGGUGAUUGCUACUGGCAUCAGCAGUUCAGAAUAAGAGUUAACCCAUCAGUUGCUCUAUAGGUGCUCUCUGUGAGGGGUGCAGUGAUGAACUGGAUUGUAAUGUCUACUUCUGCCAACCAAUUGGAGAUCUACACAAAACAACUCGUGCCAACAAAGCAGCAAAACAGCAGGGAUGCCUGUUCCAUCCUUUGGAGUCUUGCAAUUCAUAGCUCUGACUUGUGCACAGCAGGCAUCCAAAAGACAAUAUGCAUACAUGAAAAAGGUAAAGACCAUGAGGCCUUAAGGCUUGCAAGUGAGGUUCUCUGUUAGAAGUACUUUCCUAGAAGUAGAGGCUUGUUAGGGGAAGUGGAGGACUACAGCUGGCUCUAGGGAAGCAGCUCUAUAUAGCCAAGACUUUUCUUCUACUGUACUUCCCAUAGCAACAAAGAACAGAAUACAAAAGAGUAAAAUAGGAGUUGACAAACAUAGAAAAUACCCUAAAAUUAGGCACAGAAAUGUCUUGGCUCAAAGAUACAGCCCACCCACCCAAACCACCUUGCCUUGUGGAGAGAACAGACCACUGAGUUCUGGGGCACUAUGCUUUGUUUAUAACAUUUUAUGUGGGUUUCCAGGUCAUUAUGGACACCAUCAUGGUCUUUCACUGUAGGAAUACACAAUUCCCACUGAAGUAACCUCACUGAGAGGAGGGUGAGCUGUACAAUCUCAGAAAUAUGCCAACACUUUAGCAUGCAUUCCUUAGUCAGUACCAAGUUAGGUUAUGUACAAUAAAUACUGCAAAGGGCAUAGAAGCCCUGACCAACUCCUGGCUAAAUCCCAUCCCGCAGCUGCAUUAAAGGAGAGUAAAAUCAGUGGAAUCAGCAAUGAGUUUUAUUUUGCACUGGUGCAAUAUUCACCAAGUGUCUUUAGUGCAUAGUAUAACAGGUAGAUCUGUUGCUGGUGACCUUAAUACUACUGAUUACCAUGCAGUUUGUUGAGCAAGCACUGUGCAAGUGAGCGAGUCAGAAGCACAUCUUCUGAAUAAAGAUAACACCACAUCAAUAUGUCAUUAUGUUAAGCUUACAUUAAUCCAAAAAUAUUUGUUAAACUAGAAGAAAUUUAUUUCAUUUGCACCACGUGAGCCCUCUUCCUCUUCAGCAUUAAGGCAAGUAAUCUUUACAGAGCAAUCUCAUGAUCAAAGACUGCAGAAUCAUACAAGCAACAAGAAAGUUAGGGUUUGCACUCAUGCUUAAUUUUAGUCCACUGAGUAUUAGCCACUGGGACUACUGUCUCGAAGAGUGUUUCCUUCACAAAGCCAAAGAUUUGCUAUCGGUACCUGAACAGAUGACUUUCAACAUACAAGUGCUGAUUUCAACAACUCUAAUGUAAUCACAAAUAAAAUCUUCUCUGCAGAUUACUAUUCCCAGGUCGUAAUUUGUAUACACAAAACUAAUGGUCUAACGUGACCUAAAUGGGGAAUGCCACUUUCUGUUUGUUGAAAAUGCAAAUAGUUAAGGACCUUGAAAAUAGUGGUUGCAGAGGUCACCUCACUGAUCUGUUAUCAAAGCUUGCAUAAUUAAGUGGAUGCCACAGCCAUUAACUUGCAUAUGGGUUUGAAUAUGUCAAAGCAGGCCAGCUUAAUCUAAAGGUGAAUUCAAUAAUGUUAUGCUGAAUUGCAGUCCACAAAGCCUAUGAUUAAGGGUCAGCACACCUGGCUUCUGAUUUGAUGUCAGCUGCUAACCUUUCUUUGACCUUACUCCCUGCAGACUUUCUAACUGACUAUCACUAUGGAUAUUUUACAAUGUCAUCCUGCUGAUUCUCACAAUGCAGCAAGAAAUACCACGUAGCCUCGCCUUUACUAAGUUAAUUUCAAAACCUUCUCAGUGUACUUGGAAAACUAGCAUUUUAAUUUCCUAAAACAGCAGUGAAUUGUCAUCUCACAUAGGGAGGACUUGGACAGAAAUUACAGGAAAGCUUAUUUUUCCUUUUUCAAAAUAACCAAUCCAUCCAUUAGCCACUGUGAUCUGUAGAAUUUGCAUGCUUUUCGUAUCAGCACUGGUGACCAAAAUUUAUUCUUCCUGAGUGUAGCAGUGUGAAACAAACAGCAGAAAAUUUUGCUUACGCUAUGUAGGAAAUCAUUCACACUGCAGGAGAUUUCCUACUUUACUGACUUUUAUUGUUCUUCCAUUUAUUCAUUUCCCUAUACUUGGCAGGUUAGUGUCCCAUUUCUUUUGUUGAUAGACUGAAGCUUCAUGCCCCUGAGUAGGACAGUCCAAAACUGCUCAAAAAAGGACAAAGUCUGGUAUAACCUACAGCUGUAUUAUUCUUCAUAUAAAAGAAUAAUCUCUCUCAACUUGGCUUUCCCUUUGCAUCAGAAUAUAAUCUCCUCAUCAGAAGCCAUUCCUAAUCUUAAAUGGUUCUGUAAGCUCCAUACCACCUGAUUCUCCUUAAAAACAAACAAAAAGUUACAAUUUAGAAAAGUGAACAGUGGAUAAUUACACCAGUAAACCACAUUAUUAUAUCAUUUCCAAGAAUGCAAAAGGAAGGCACCACAAGGAUUUACUUCAUAUCAGGAAAAGAUGCAUGUAGAACUUGAUAUUUUAGGAACACCGACCAGUCAGAAUACACGAUGGAAUAGUUUGCAGAAUACUCACCUGUUAUUUCAUGUGAACAAUAUACUAUAGACUGAUUUACAGGAAAAAAAAAAAAAGUAUUCCAAAUAAUGCAGUAGCAUUCACAUGUAGGCAUUUUGUCUGUAUUUAGGUUUGCAAAAGCCUCAAAAAGAAUCUUAUGCAUUAAGAUACACAAUAUGAAAUGUCUCUUUUAUAUUACUAAUUAUCAUCAACUCCCACCUUUCCUGCCACAUACAGAGAAAAUGGGGCUUAAUUAUGGAAGCUGGCAGCCCCAUAAUACAUAUAAACAGUAUACCAGGAGACUCUGAAGCCAUUUGAUGUUCCUAUUUCAAUGAAGCAGUAUAACAAUUCUAGUUUGUACCUCCACUUGCACUGUACAUAUCAGUAGUAAAUCUAUACACAACUACAUGCUGCAUCACUGAAUAACAGACAAAAUCUAUAGGGAAGCAGCUGAAACUAGUAUGAAUUUAGAGCUAUACCUUCUACUGUGGGAGCUGCAAGUGCUGAGCAAGGACUGAGGUUGCUGUUUGCAUGACAGACAUUUCAGUGAGGCUUUAUUUAUGUCUUGGAGUCUGCAUGUUUUGUUUGGGGGUCGUUCAUAGCUGCCUUUCCAGUUACAGUUAGGCUCACUAAGGAAGGCAUAAUUUCCACGCCUCACUGGAGGACAGCUCAGAUCUUCUAGGUCUGUGCAAUCGUUCUAUGAACCCUGCUAGCAUGUGCAGGUGAAAUUACUGAUCUUCUUUUUCAUGGUUCUGCACCCAGCAGGUGCAGGGACACAGUCUCCAACAAUGGAUAAUGAGAAGCAGCUGAGGCAGAAAAGGGGCUGGCACAGCUACAGCCAGAGGGGGAAAAUGGGGCUUCCCAAUUCCCCAAGCAGAGCAACCCACAGUCCCUGGGGUGUCUAAGUCUCUGUCACAGCACCUUCUCCUCCCAGGGAGCCCCAUGAUGCUCCUGCUUGACUCUCAGGGCUUACUUCCUAUGCAGUCUUCUCUUCCAUCUUAACUCAUUCCUCCAAUCAACUCUUGCUCAUCUUUAUUUCCUUUUUUUCUUAUCUAUUGAAAAGAAAAGCAGCUGUCAAACAGACUUAGUCCAGUCCUGCGAAGGCUGACAGUUCCUUUUCUCUCUAUUAAUAUUCUUAACCAAAAUAGGCAAACCAUCAUUUAAAGUCCACCUGCUUCUCAAAACAGGGCUUACCACCUGUGCUGGCUCUCUACAAAAGAGCAAAUGUAGUCCUACUUCAUAGUCACCCCUGCUAGAUUGCCUUUGCUACCCAGUCUAUCCAUCGCAUUAGAAAAAAACUACUCAAAGCAAAAGGACUUUUCACAUAAGGCAAAGAGAAGGUAAAGACAUUUGCUGGAUGUGAUGCCGUCAUUGUCUCCUAUUUCCUAUCCAUAAUGUAAGCCUUCUAUUAGCAUUAGUAACCAUGUAUGCACAAAGUACACAUUGCACUUGCUUCCUAUGCAGGUUCUCACUGGCACAUACAGCAGCCUCAUUUUGCUUGUGUGGAACUUUCAUAUUUUUCCCGAUUAUGAGUCCCAACAGCCCAGAUUGAUAGCAGACCCAGCUGUCCGUUAUAAUUACAUUUUAAUGACUUAGGAUGGUUGUUUGCAUUUUGGCAACUUGUUUAAUAGUGAUGACAUUUAAAUUGUCACAACUAGGCUUCAAAGUUAUCAAUUUAUUAGAUGAUCAGGAAACUUCACACCUAUUGUGGUGCAGUAUUUUGGCUGCAAACUCAGUUAUCCAUCAGCACACUGAUUUAUGUAAUGAAGGUUAUUUCAUAGGGAUAUGCUUUAGUUAAUUCAACCCCUAAAUGCAGGAACUUGCACAAAUUAAGAAGGUUCUGCUUACUUGUUUACUAUUUGUACAGAUUGACAGAUACUCUAAAAACAGACAUUGUGUUUCGUCUUCUCGUACUUUCUUUAUUUCAGCGUACUCUUGUGUAUAUUCUGAAAUCAUGUGGUUCCUUCAGAGAAACUUUCACACACCAACAGAUAUACUCAAAUACUGCACAGAUUAUGUACUUGGAAGGUUGUUUUUUUUUUUUUUUUUGCUAUCUCACCUCCCCCAACCUAAUACUGCAUUAAGAAGGUGUCCAACUUCUUAUACAACACUAGAAGUUGUGAAUAGCAGAAAAAUUAACCCUGAUUUCCUGUUCUAAAUAUCCAGUUCAACCAAAACACAUAGUUCCACCAGCACAUUCCCAACGCAUCACUUGGCUACUCCCUCCCAGCUUCCCGUUUCCAACCUAAUGGUUUCAAGUCUCUCUGAUGACUCCUGACCAGCUACCUGGAAGAGAAACACUAUGUGGUGUGGGCCUGUAAAGCUGUGUCCUUGCUCACAAAGCUGCUCACGCACUGACCAUCACGACCACUGCAUGCGGGAGCCACAGGGAGCUGCAGAAAGUGGUGGUGCAGCCCUUGAGCAAUGCACAGAACUGGCAGAUGCAACUGAAACGGGUUCAUUGAUUCAGAAAUUAACGUGAGAGGCUAACACAUAGGUAGAACUGAAACAUAUUCAUUUCUUCAGAAAACAAAAUUAAAUAUAUGUUCAUAUAUGGCUGAUGAUUGAUACAAACAUAGGUAUGUCAGUCAUCCCUGAGGACAGCAAUGCUGGCAGGGGCAGGAGCACUUGCUGCCAAGUUCCCAGUAUCACAAAUGCCACCACUGGAAGGUACCAUGUGCGUGCAAGCUCAUGUCUUUUGAGCUCCAACCUACUUCAGGGACAUAGCCUGUGAAGAGGAUCUGCCAAAAAUCUUUCUUUAGAGAGGACUGUCUUUAAUACAUGAAUGGUGAAAAAUUCUAAUAAACAUACUUCUCUUUACACUUUUGACUGACUUCUCUCCCUUAUCAUGGGCAUUACCUUGAAGCAAGUAAUCAUUAAGUAAAUAGAUCUAGAAGAGAAGUCAUUUCAAGUACAGAUUUCUUCCGCUAAAUUCCCUCGAGUGCCCACUCUGUAGCCCUUGGGCAAAAUCCAGCAAUAAUUUAUCUCAAGAAGAGGCCAAUGCUCAUUAAUCAAGCAAAGGCCUGGCUGAAAUCUUCACAAGUGGCUGUGGAGAAUGCUGAGUCACCUCGUUACAACUGAUCUAGGUACUUCACAAUGCCGAAAGUCAAAAAGGUGCCAGAGACCAUUAUUUUACAGAUGGAAAGCCAGUAAAGAAAACAAGGAAAGUAAUUAAAAAUAUAUUUCUCAAGUGCAUUGGACAGAAAUCAAAAUUAAAAAACAAUGAAUAACCAAAGUAAAUGUGACAGGUAGCAGAAAAAUACAUAUUACACAGCUGCUGAAAGAAAAAGCUGUAAAUAUGCCCACGUGUAUUUUGGUAGAAGAGGAAGAGAUUCCCAGGGGAAUUCCCAAGGAAAUCCUUGGGCUCUUCAGGAAGUAGGAAGGUUUGUCUCCCUGGAACACCUGAAAAACCUGCCCUUCUACCUAGAAAGCAGGAAGAUCCCCAGAAACCUGAACAAGUUCACAUCAGCACCCACGCAGAAGGCCAUGCACUAUCUUUAUUUCCUUGUUGAAACUCAUUCCAUACCAAUGACAUGCUCUCCACCACAGCCUUUACUUUGAUCCAGAGAUGGCCUUUGAGGCAUGAGAUUCCUGCUUUCAAGAUGGUCUGUGGGACAGGUAAUACAGCUCCGGGCUGCGCUGCCUGUUUGUGCUUAGAGCUUCAUUGCCUGCUCUGCGCAGGAUGAUGUGAGCCCUGCCACCUCCAGCUCCUAGAGACAGCCCCAACCGAGUCCCAAGCCUCAACCCUUCUGAUUUUGUUAGAGGAGACUAGAAACCUCAAUCAGUAGAUGGGUGACAGGCAAUCAUUUCUAAUAAAGCAAAAAGUGAUCUACAGGAGGACAGCAGCCUCUUUGGGUGUUGAAGCUGUUUGUACAGUGACUGCAUCACAGCAGGCCAUUUCUCAGCCUCAGCUGCACACCAUGAGAGGCAGGCACAGGUACAAUACUGAGUAUCUCCCACUGCUCUUCUAGGUCUAGAAAAUUUCUACCCAUAUUUGCUGGUUCUGCCAACAAGCAGCACUACCCACUUCUGCCUCUGUCCUUAUAACAUUAUGGCUACAGCAGCAGUACCACAAAAAGAGGGGUGAAACUUGCUGUUAGAAACCAACCUAAAUACGAAAACCUACUUCCUACACACACACAAGAGAAAGGAUCACCUCCA